ensembl:snRNA U6 U6 spliceosomal RNA
GUGCUCGCUUUGGCAGCACAUAUACUAAAAUUGGAACGAUACAGAGAAGAUUAGCAUGGCCCCUGUGCAAGGAUGACAUGCAGAUUUGUGAAGCAUUCCAUAUUUUU